rnacentral:rRNA from 1 species
GUGCCAGCCGCCGCGGUAAUACGUAGGGGGCCAGCGUUGUUCGGAAUUACUGGGCGUAAAGAGCGCGUAGGUGGUGCGGUGUGUUUGGUGUGAAAUCUCCCGGCUCAACCGGGAGGGGCCAUCGAAAACUGCCGCGCUUAGGGUACGGGAGAGGGGAGUGGAAUUCCCGGUGUAGCGGUGAAAUGCGUAGAGAUCGGGAGGAACACCAGUGACGAAGGUGGCUCCCUGGACCGUUACCGACACUGAGGCGCGAAAGCUAGGGGAGCAAACAGGAUUAGAUACCCUGGUAGUCCUAGCCCUAAACGAUGUUCACUUGGUGUGCCGCGAGCACUCGCGGUGUGCCGGAGCUAACGCGUUAAGUGAACCGCCUGGGGAGUACGGUCGCAAGGCUGAA